UUUGCAGUCCCGCCUCUAAACAAUGCACUUUCUAAUUUCUGCAUUAAGUUCCCUUAAAUGCAGGUGGUCGCAAUAAAAAAUGGCCCAUCUGUAUGCGAUUCUCUACUUUGUUACCUUCAAAUGGGUUUAUAUCAACUGUCAGCAGAUCAUACAGGUCCAACAGGAACCACAGGACCUGGUUCUUUUCGCUGGAUUAUCAGUCAGAGUUUCUUGUUCUGUAACUGGCUUGAGCAAUCCGGACCUGUACUGGUACCGCUGGAAUGAAACAGAAGGUUUCACACUGGUAUUCACCUCCAGAGGUACUGGGAUGAUGGACCCAGCCAGUUCUGGCCAGUUUAAAUCUAGCAGACCUAAUGAUCUCCAGAUGUUCUUGGAGUCUGAUGCAGUUAGUGAGAACGGCUCUGCAGUGUGGUAUUGUGCAGCCAGGCCCCACAAACCAAACUGA